UAGAGAAUUCCCCCCCCCCCCCACAUGAGAAAGCGAGAGACAUCAUGGCUUUCAAAUGAGCAAAGUGCCAGUUGGUCAAUAAUAAUGGUCUAUAUAAAAGCAUCCAAAACGCACCAUGUCAUGGGACCUUUAACAAACGUUUGCAUAAAUUGCGAGUGGUAGAUUCCCAUUUAGCAAAGAAUAUGAAGGGAUUAUAUGGGUCCAUUACAGAAAGUUUAGACAGAAGCUAGUGGAACAAACGUUAAAAUCAGGGUUGGUAAUGUUGAAAAGAUAGCAAGAUGUGAAAGUAGUAUUUAUUGCUGUCGGGGUACAAAGACCAUUUUAAACAACAUAUUAAAAAAGUGUACGUAUAUUGGAACAUAUAGGGGCUCUUAGGCAGAAAAACAACCAUUCUCAAUAUGUUUACUAGACCAACCAACAUAAAGGAAACCACUGAAGAUAAUGAUGAGCAUGUAGAGGUAAAUCACAUCAUCAUUAGUAUGUAUGGUUUCAAAAGAUUCUGAAUUUCAAAACCUAGCACAUACAGUCUUAUGCUUAUGUUUUGUUCUUACGUGUGGAAAGGCUACCCUUUGUAAGUGCACUUAAAUCAGAAUAAAUUCCUAGUUUGAUAAAGCCGCAAUAUUAAUGCUAUUAUUCAAUAUUUCCCAAAAGUAGCACAACUGUCUUUAAAAAAAAAAAGAAGAAGUGAAAAGUUAUUUGUCUUUUGAUGCCUUUUUUCUCAUUUUAUCUGACAAAGCACUUAAUCCAUACAGUUAAAUUGAAUUGUGUUUUUAAAUUGCAAUCUUGCUCUCUAUCGGACCUGUUCACUGCAUUUUGAUGUAUUAACACUUCAGACUCCCAGGUUGCUACAGUGUGGUCUUUUCUCCUGAUUAUGAGUAUUUUGCUGUGAUCUAUCCCAGACUUUUGAAGUGUGUUAAUGUUGUGAACCUUUGAACACAUACUGGAAACCUAACCGAGCCAUGUCAGCCGACCUCAAUUUUUUCUUUCUUUUUGUCUUUUGUCCUUUGUCCUUUGCUUGUUCCAGGAUGCUCUGUCAUCUUUCCAAUUUCCUUGAUCCAAGUCAGAUUUAAAAUCUUAUAUUCUCUUGUCCUACUGCUGUUAUCUGCCUGAUGUCUCACCUCUUGGUGGGAGAAAGAUUGUUUAUAAACUACUUUAAAUAAGGCUAACUUUGGAACUGGUACUGCUACUUCAAUAAUUUUUCUCCGUCUACAUAUUAAGAGAUCCUCAAACCAAAAUAUGUCUUUUUAAUAUCAGACACAGCGCGUAUGCUUUAAAAAUUUCCUUCACAGAGAAAACCGGUGUGGUCAUCUGCAACAUGCAGUAUGAUGAGGUGGCCUUAGUCCUGGUAGUUAGUUCAAUGAUUGCUUCUAGAGUAUAUCAUCUAUGUGAAAUAAACAGAAAAUUAAUCAAAUAUCAGCUCUAAGAAUCACAGCCACAAAGUAAUCAUUUGGACUCCAAGGAAUGGCUGUGGUUGAAUUAGCAACAUCACUGAGUGCCUGUUGUACACCAUGUUCAAUGAAUAACCAAAGCAACAUUAGCAGUUUUGCAGGAUGCCAGCACAUUUGUAAAAGUGUUUCCUUUUUCAUGUUUUUUUUUCCUAUACAGUACCUGUGUGAUUUCUAUAUAAAUGCUGUCCUGAAUGAAAUAGCCAACUCAUCACUGUUACCUGAAAACAGUUUUAUGUUAUUGUGUGUCUAAAAUGAAUGAUAACACUUUGAUUCUUCUGACAUUAACUUUUUUUUUAAUUUUUUUAAACGGUGAAUUGUAUGUGCCAAUAAAACACUCAUACCUGA